rnacentral:miRNA from 1 species
UUUUGGAAUGGAGGGAGUAUU